rnacentral:rRNA from 1 species
AUACGGAGGACGCGAGCGUUAUCCGGAUUCAUUGGGUUUAAAGGGUGCGCAGGCGGCCGUGCAAGUCAGCGGUGAAAGCCCGGGGCUCAACCCCGGAAGUGCCGUUGAUACUGCAUGGCUGGAAUGCGGUCGAGGCGGGCGGGAACUGGCGGGUAGGGGGGAAAUGCGUAGAUAUGCCACAGAACGCCGAUAGCGGAGGCGUCUCGCCAGGCCUGCAUUGACGCUCGGGCACGAAAGCGUGGGGAUCGAACAGGAUUAGAUACCCUGGUAGUCCACGCCGUAAACGAUGGGCGCUCGUCGUCGGCGGCAGACAGUCGGCGGCCAAGCGAAAGCGAUAAGCGCCCCACCUGGGGAGUACGGUCGCAAGGCUGAAACUCAAAUGAAUUGACGGGG